AUGGAUCCAAAUUCUUGUUAUGUGCUGAAAAUUAGAUUGCUUGGCAACCCAAAAAAAGCUAGAAAAGAGCCCAUGUGUUUUUAUUUCGAGAAGGUUAUUGAUUCCGACUUGACAAAUUAUGAAGAUUUGGUUGAAUCAAUUAUAGUGCAGUACCAGCCAUGUUAUUUGGAAGGUGCGCAUGUUCACUACUAUGAUGAAGUUCUGAAAACGUUUCUAGAAAUAAAAUCAGACCAAGAGUUGAUGUAUAUGUUUGAGAAACAGUCUAAGUCAAAGAUGGUGCAGAUGUUCAUUGUAUAUUGGGAACCCUCUGAACCAUAUGAGCCUAUCAUUGAGUAUUAUAGUAAUGUGCAUAUCCAACCUAAGAACAACGUAGACCAAGAUGAUGAUAGUUACCUUCGCAACCCAAUACCGGAGAAUGAACAUGUUGGGAUGGAUGAAGAGAAUAUGUAUUUGAAGGAAGAACCUAAAGCUCUAAAUGUGGUUCUUUUUCCUGAUAAAGAAAAGGACCAAGACUAUGUUGCUGAUGGUGAGAGUGAGGAUGGGAGUGAGGAUCAGAGUAAGGAUGAGAGCGAGGACGAGACUGAAGUAGAGGAGGAUGAGGAGUUGCAUGAGGUAAAUCAUGCCCCAAAUAUAGAGUAUGAUAAGGAUGACCCUCCUAUGACUGAAGGUUUCAUAUAUCCCAAUAUGAAGGAGUUUAAGUUGGCCCUUUCUCAGCAUGCUAUCAAACAUGAAUUUGAGUAUAAUACGAAGAAGAGUGCACCAUGUAGGUUCAGGGGUUGUAAAAUAAGAGAUGAAGAUAAUUGUCCAUGGAGGAUACAUGCUUCUACAACGGAUGAUUUGUGUACCGUAGUGGUGAAAAAAAACCCUUUUGGUCAUGAUUGCUCUAGUGCAAGAAGGAAAAAGAAGGUGAAGAAUCCAACUAAGUACUGGAUAUGUGAGAAGGUGAAGGACUGGCUCAUUGAAGAUGCAACUCUAGGAGCAAAGGAAUUGUGA
rnacentral:rRNA from 1 species